rnacentral:misc_RNA from 1 species
CCCCCAUCAAUUUCCCACUCUGUCAAUCGUAACUUCUUUGGAUGUUCAGUUGUUGCAUUAAACAUCAUUAGGUUCUCCCAGUCCCACUGAAUGGGUGGUUUUGUAUUCCACUCCAUCAGUGAGGAGGAACUCAUAGAAUAAACUUCACCAAUUACACACUUUUAUAAAAUACACAAGCAAACAGACGCCAGAUCCUGUUUAAUUGAAUUAGGCAAGCCAAUCUUUAGUCCCCCUUGAAAGAAUAAAAUCCGAUCUGUCUGUUCCAGAUACUGCAGAAACAGUCCCAGUGGAUGAAGUGCCCAAAUUCACUAACUUCCACAGCUCCAAGAAUUCAACGAGAGCAACCAGACACAACUUUUAACAACACAAAAUCAGCAUCUAAAGAAGGAAACUCGCUUUCCAACACAGCAAACUCUGUUGCAAACAAGAACC